AUUGUCCGCAAUUCAAGGUUUAUUGAAUAAAUAAAAAUGCCUGUCUUACUGCAUUACUAUAACCACACAACUGAAGGACAUUGCAAAUAGUCUUCUAAUUUUGACAUAUACAUGUAUAUUUUUUUUUUUAAUUGAUAUGUGUUACUUGUGUACCAGAAUAAAUGCAGUGAAAUGUGAUUCCUUUAAAAAAUAUCAAACUAAAGUAUCUUUAUAUGAAAUGUUUGCAUAAAAAUGUUAUAUUAGGAUAGGUGCUUUUAGUUAUAAUACAAAAAAUUGUGCAUUUUUAAUUAAGCAAAAAACAAAAAAGCGCCCAUAAACAAGAUUUAAGUACCAUAAUCAAAAAUGUCUUGAGCAAAGACAGUAUGAUGCUAGGAAACACAAAUAGCUCAUGAAUCUGUUUUGCUACCUGAGUUAACCAAGUCAACAUAGCCUCUUUAUUAUGCAGUGUAUUGAAACACACUAGGCUAUUCAAAAGUACUAAAAUGUACUGCUUCCUAGUAUGAUGUAACUAUUCAAUUUACUUCCCAAGCCAGUACAUAACUCAAUAUAAUUAUAUAGUUGACACAGGUACAUACCUCCAAACAUUUCAAGUAGACAAACAGGGACAGAUUCGUGUUAGGGGUGUGGCCAGGUUUAAGGCUGUUCUGAGGAAUUGCAGGUGACUUAUUAAAAAAUAGGAUGGAUACAUUUGGAUAAAUUAGUCUGGCCAUAUCCACAGGCAAUAUCCAUCAGCUUUAUACUUGAUUUUGUUUACAUCUCAAGACAGUGAUGCAACUCUUAGUUUUAAUGAAUUGGUCACCUAUUAAUUUCUAUCAUUUUCCCAUUAAAGCAUAUGGUAUAACCAUACGCUUUACCAAACUUUAGGUUAUGUUUAUUAUAAUGUUUAGGUUAUGUCCUAAUGUUCUAGCUACCAAACUUUAGGUAACGUCAUAAUGUUUAUUAUGAUGUUUAGGUUAUGUCCUAAUGUUCUAGCUACCUUGGCGUUAUAUUAUAUAUAUAUAUAUAUAUAUAUAUAUAUAUAUAUAUAGUUCCAGGUCCCAGCACUCGAUGUUCCCGGUCUUUUUGUGCUCUGGUGCACAAUCUCCAACCAAAAUAUAUAUACCUAGUAGAGAGCACUCUGGAGUCUUGGUGAAGUAAAUUUAAACUGCUGCUUUAUUAAACAAACACAGCGAUUAACACAAUAGUCGACGUUUCAGUCUAUGCAGACUUUUUUCAAGACGUCUUGAAAAAAGUCUGCAUAGACUGAAACGUCGACUAUUGUGUUAAUCGCUGUGUUUGCUUAAUGAAGUAGCAGUUUGAAUUUACUUCACCAAGACUCCAGAGUGCUCUCUACUAGGUGUGUGUGUGUAUGUGUGUGUGUGUGUGUGUGUGUGUAUAUAUAUAUAUAUUAGUUAUAUAGUGUAGAUUGGAUUAGCCGUAUUAGUCCAGCAGACAAGAUGCCAAAUUACCAGAGUAUAUAACUAAUAUCAGGGUAUCUAACCAAGUAGCAGAGAGUGACAUUUUCUCGACAAAAGACAGUAGCUGGAAAAUUAUGGCAACAUAUUUCAUUUAUUGGAAAAUUUCCGCCCUUAACCUAAAGUAAAGUAGAAAUUACAGUGGAUAUUGUUAUUUAUCAAUACAAACUAUUUCAAAAUCAUUUUCCUAAUCUAAUCCAGAAAUGUAUAAAAAUUUUGAAAUAAAUUGAAGAGAAAAAAAAUUUAAACUCCUUUAUUUUUUUUUUAUAUUUUCAAAAACAUUACAAUUUAUUUUAGUGUUUUAGUUAAUAG